UACGUACCGUCCAAACGUUAUUCGGAUUCAUUGGGCUUAAAGGGUAUGUAGGCGGCGCUGUCAGUCGGGUGUGAAAUCCCUCGGCUCAACCGAGGAACUGCGCCCGAUACUGCAGUGCUUGAGGGAGACAGAGGUAAGCGGAACUGAUGGUGGAGCGGUGAAAUGCGUUGAUAUCAUCAGGAACACCGGUGGCGAAAGCGGCUUACUGGGUCUCUUCUGACGCUGAGAUACGAAAGCUAGGGGAGCGAACGGG
rnacentral:rRNA from 1 species